UUGAAGCUUGCUUCAAUUGAUGGCGACCGGCGCACGGGUGAGUAACACGUAUCCCACCUUCCGCUGACUCGGGGAUAGCCUUUCGAAAGAAAGAUUAAUACCCGAUAGCAAAGGACUUCCGCAUGGAUAUCCUUUUAAAGGAUUCCGGUCAGCGAUGGGGAUGCGUUCCAUUAGAUAGUUGGCGGGGUAACGGCCCACCAAGUCAACGAUGGAUAGGGGUUCUGAGAGGAAGGUCCCCCACAUUGGAACUGAGACACGGUCCAAACUCCUACGGGAGGCAGCAGUGAGGAAUAUUGGUCAAUGGGCGAGAGCCUGAACCAGCCAAGUAGCGUGAAGGAAGACUGCCCUAUGGGUUGUAAACUUCUUUUAUACGGGAAUAAAGUCAUCCACGUGUGGGUGUUUGUAUGUACCGUAUGAAUAAGGAUCGGCUAACUCCGUGCCAGCAGCCGCGGUAAUACGGAGGAUCCGAGCGUUAUCCGGAUUUAUUGGGUUUAAAGGGAGCGUAGGCGGGCUUUUAAGUCAGUUGUGAAAGUUUGCGGCUCAACCGUAAAAUUGCAGUUGAUACUGGAAGCCUUGAGUACAGUAGAGGCAGGCGGAAUUCGUGGUGUAGCGGUGAAAUGCUUAGAUAUCACGAAGAACUCCGAUUGCGAAGGCAGCUUGCUGGACUGUAACUGACGCUGAUGCUCGAAAGUGUGGGUAUCAAACAGGAUUAGAUACCCUGGUAGUCCACACAGUAAACGAUGGACACUCGCUGUUGGCGAUAUACGGUCAGCGGCUUAGCGAAAGCGUUAAGUGUCCCACCUGGGGAGUACGCCGGCAACGGUGAAACUCAAAGGAAUUGACGGGGGCCCGCACAAGCGGAGGAACAUGUGGUUUAAUU
rnacentral:rRNA from 1 species